rnacentral:rRNA from 1 species
CUACGGGCGGCAGCAGUGGGGAAUAUUGCACAAUGGGCGCAAGCCUGAUGCAGCCAUGCCGCGUGUAUGAAGAAGGCCUUCGGGUUGUAAAGUACUUUCAGCGGGGAGGAAGGGAGUAAAGUUAAUACCUUUGCUCAUUGACGUUACCCGCAGAGGAAGCACCGGCUAACUCCGUGCUAGCAGCCGCGGUAAUACGGAGGGUGCAAGCGUUAAUCGGAAUUACUGGGCGUAAGGCGCACGCAGGCGGUUUGUUAAGUCAGAGGUGAAAUCCCCGGGCUCAACCUGGGAACUGCAUCUGAUACUGGCAAGCGUGAGUCUCGUAGAGGGGGGUAGAAUUCCAGGUGUAGCGGUGAAAUGCGUAGAGAUCUGGAGGAAUACCGGUGGCGAAGGCGGCCCCCUGGACGAAGACUGACGCUCAGGUGCGAAAGCGUGGGGAGCAAACAGGAUUAGAUACCCCAGUAGUC